UACGUAGGAUGCGAGCGUUAUCCGGAUUUAUUGGGUUUAAAGGGUGCGUAGGCGGACGCUUAAGUCAGCGGUAAAAUGUCCGGGCUCAACCCGGGCCGGCCGUUGAAACUGGGGAUCUUGAGUGGGCGAGAAGUAUGCGGAAUGCGUGGUGUAGCGGUGAAAUGCAUAGAUGUCACGCAGAACUCCGAUUGCGAAGGCAGCAUACCGGCGCCCGACUGACGCUGAGGCACGAAAGCGUGGGGAUCGAACAGG
rnacentral:rRNA from 1 species